GUGUGAGUGAGAGACUUUCACUCAAUGUACUUGACACGAAGAGAUGCUGCCAUGCUGAAGUCCUGCAGCAGUGUGAGAGGCCUGGAACUUGUCCUCUGCACCCUCAUGCUGUCAGCAGCCAGGUGAAACGGGACAGGUGCUGCUGCUUCCUGGCACAUUUGAUGGCUGGGAUGCAUCUUUCUGAGGAGCUGCCAGAAGAAUGGCAAAGGAUAAAGCUGAAGGUGUCCAAAAGCCUGCAAGCCAGUAACAUGAGCUGAGAUCUGUGAAUGAAAGCAGUCUUCUGGAUGAAAUUGCCUUGAUUUGGCAAAGAGAUUGUCCUGUGGAGAGAGGAUCCCAUGCUGGAGCAGUCUGUCCCUGAAGGACUGCACCCUGUAGCCCCUGGACUGAACGACUCUCCAUGGCUCAGGCAGAGAAAGCAGAGAACUUAUGCUGCCUGAAGAUGGUAUGGAAUCUCUCUCUGCUAUGCAACUUCACACAGCCCCAGUUUUCCAUAAUGCAAGAGAAGGGAACACCGUCACACUGAAUGGUUCUACCAAAGCUGCUUUACAGUUGGAACAAGGCUACCUUGUCUAGGGAUUCUACAAAGCAUGAAGUAAAAGAGGAGAAAAUAAUGCCUUCUGAGAGUUUCUUCAGGGAGAGUGCUGUAAGUGCCAUGGGACUGAUUCAGGCUACCCAAGGACACCUUGAUCUUUUAGUCAGCUCCAGAUCAUGAAGGAGUAUUUUCAGGAGGCAUAACGUAUUCUUUGUCCUAGAAAACUGGAAGAAAGGCUAAGUAUAGAUGAAUGUCAAAAGAUUAUGGUUCUGC
rnacentral:lncRNA from 1 species